GUGAGGAGUGGCGUGCCUGCGUGGCCGCAUUCCCCUGACCGCUACUGGUGCGCGCGGGCACGUGUCACAUCGGCUCUCAGCGCGAGAAAGGAGGGGCCCUAGGGGCUGCCUGAUGCAAAGGAGCUGUCGGGGGAGAGGAGAGACACCGCGGGGAGGCUGGAACUGGCCGAGGGAGUCUCCCCCACCUCGGUUACUCUGUGGUGCCUUGGACGCGUCUGGCUUGUCCUGGGCCCUUGCUUGGAGAUGCCUAGCCGUUUCAAUCCCGUGGGAGCUUCGGCUAGUCAAAGGAGGGGAGAAAAACAGGUGUUGUUAGCCUUGAGCUAAAGCUUAGAUUGGAGUUUUUGGAAUAUCUACUUAGAACCAGAGAAGAGCCACUUGACACGAGUUAGGCACUGAUGCUAGCCACCUAAUCUAGGAGUUUGAGAGAAAGGGAGUGGGUGUAGCUGGGGUUAAAAGGGGUUUUGCUCAACUGUCAUAAGGUGCUCGACAGUGGUCUGGGGUGGUUGCAUCCCACCACUGGCUAUGCAACUUAACAUGAUUAGGUUUGGUGCAAAAACAUGAGGCAACACCAAGUUUGGGCUCCAUUGGACAAGUUUUGCUAUGCAAACUUGAAAUAACACCUAAAUGGCCAGAUUUGUUCCUUCCAAAGGGAGUGUGGUCAAAUCAAGUCCCAAAAAUCCCAUUUUUUGGCAUGGAGUCCUCAUUUGAGGUAUUAGGCACUCCUGCAAAGUUUCAUCUCCAUUGAAUAAACUUUGCUAUGUAGGGUUGCUCUAACUUCAUAUUGGACAGAAAGGGUUUUGGAAUUAUUUGGUGACCCUAACCACCUUGGGUCAAGGUGAAACUUUAUAUGGGCACCAAAUAUGGCUUAGGAAGCUCACUGGAAUUUUCUAGGAAUUUAUUAAAUAUUUCAAAAGGUCAAAACAGACACAAUAGGUUUUCACGGUUUUACUCAAAUAUUUAUAA
rnacentral:lncRNA from 1 species